GAUUCAUGAUCGAUGAUUACAUUUUAUGCUGGGCAUAUCACGAUAGGCAUCACGCUGCACUGGGAAUUUGGUUCUGUCCAUGAGGUUUACACCAUUUUUUGUUUUUAUCAAAAGAAAAUUCACAGUAACCAGAUAAGAUGAAUACGACCAGCAGCACUCGAAAAAGAUAAAAGAGGAUCCGAUUCGUGAUCUCUUCAUUAAAAAAAA
rnacentral:lncRNA from 1 species